rnacentral:rRNA from 1 species
GAUGAACGCUGGCGGUGUGCCUUAUACAUGCAUGUCGAACGAGGCGUAGCAAUACGUCUAGUGGCAAAUGGGUGAGUAAUAAAUAGGUAACCAACCCUUAAGACGGGGAUACCCCAUCGAAAGAUGGAAUAAUACCCGAUAAUGUCCCUUCCGGUGCGCUGGAGGGGAAGAAAGAUGGCGCAAGCUAUCACUUUUGGACGGGCUUAUUUCCUAUCAGCUAGUUGGUGAGGUAACGGCUUACCAAGGCUACGACGGGUAGCUGGUCUGAGAGGACGGUCAGCCACAUUGGGACUGCGACACGGCCCAGACUCCUACGGGAGGCAGCAGUCGGGAAUAUUCGGCCAAUGCGCGAAAGCGUGACCGAGCGACACCGCGUGGGCGACGAAGAUCUUAGGAUUGUAAAGCCCUUUUGCCAGGGAAGAAUACGCUGGAGACAAUAUCAAUAGCGUUUGACGGUACCUGGCGAAUAAGCCGCAGCAAACUACGUGCCAGCAGCCGCGGUAAAACG